rnacentral:lncRNA from 1 species
AACGGUGUCUUUUAUGAAAGUACUUAUGUCCCUGUUACCUUAUGUUCUAGGUUUCUGCUGGACCUGCUGCCCAGAGCCAUCUGGAAUGGCUGUGAACACCUCUAGGAAACCCCAGGUCUUCGGUCAUAGAGAUGACAUUAUUUGGAGAAGCUUCCUUGAAUUGUUGUCAUAGAGUGGAGUAGACCGUUCUUAGCUUCUGCAUCGAAUAUUCUGCUAGAGGGGAGAAAUGUGCUGAGAUGGAAAAGCAAUCAAGUAGAUUUUCAUGGAGGCAUUUUUAAAAGCAUCUUCUUAGAAGGACGAUGUAAUGGCCGCCUGCUGUGCGUCGGCGUUCUAAAGGAUCACUGUUGCUGGGAGGUGCUGGACGGGCCUGGCAUCUUUGGAGCCCUGCAGCGGCGGGAAUCCAGUCCGAGGAUUAAGGCAGCGCAGUGGUCUUGCCAUGGGCGGUCAGGACCACCGCCCGGCUGGCUGUUGACCUUGGGCUCUGUCUAUGCCUCAUCGGGAGUGGGUCUGCAGGAAGCCCUUCGCCUUUCCCGGCUCUCGGUCUUUGGAAGCCCCUGUCUCUCCCCGAGGGCACCCCCUCCCAACUCCCCUGUCUGGUCUGCUCAGAGUCUCCGCCCCGGACGCCCCACCCACCCAAC